UGGGCUCGAAAUGUAGUGGACCGGGGUGGAAACAUCCCUUCCCGCAAGGGCUGCUAUAUAGGUGCUGCAUGGCUGUCGUCAGCUCGUGUCGUGAGAUGUUGGGUUAAGUCCCGCAACGAGCGCAACCCUUAUUGUCAGUUGCCAUCAUUCAGUUGGGCACUCUGGCGAAACCGCCUCGGAUAACGGGGAGGAAGGUGGGGAUGACGUCAAGUCCUCAUGGCCUUUAUGUCCAGGGCUACACACGUGCUACAAUGGUCGGUACAAACCGUCGCAAACCCGUGAGGGGGAGCUAAUCGGAAAAAGCCGACCUCAGUUCGGAUUGGAGUCUGCAACUCGACUCCAUGAAGCUGGAAUCGCUAGUAAUCGCGGAUCAGAACGCCGCGGUGAAUACGUUCCCGGGCC
rnacentral:rRNA from 1 species